rnacentral:SRP_RNA from 1 species
GCCGGGUGCGGUGGCGUGUGCCUGCAGUCCCAGCUAUUCAGGAGGCCUAGGUGGGAGGAUCGCUUGAGCCCAGGAGUUCUGGGCUGUAGUGCGCUAUGCCGAUCGGGUGUCUGCACUAAGUUUGGCAUCAAUAUGGUGACCUCCCGGGAACGGGGGACCACGAGGUUGCCUAAGGAGCGGUGACCCGGCCCAGGUAGGAAACAGAGCAGGUCAAAACUCCCUGCUGAUCAGUAGUGGGAUCAUGUCUGUGAAUUGCCACUGUACUCUAGCCUGGGCAACAUAGUGAGACCCUGUCUCU